UAACAUCAGAGGUCGUGGAGAGUCUCCAUCCAGCUGGAUCUCUGUCACAGGGAAAUCUACCACCCCCUCUCCUCCUGAUUCCUUCUCUUCCUCACCCACCUCUCUUCCUGGUUCUGCCUCUCCUCUCUCUGUGUUGUGGUCUGCUUUUCUAUCUUUCUAUCUUCUGGUUGUUGUGGUUGUUCUGGUUCUACUGGUUCUACUGGUGAGACGAUGCCUCCACAGGAAACCUAAAGCUGCUGAAGUAGAAGUUGAAGAUGAUGACAUCACAGAUGGCAUCGCAUACUGUGAUGUCAAAAUAUCAAGUCACCUACAGCAGCCAAUCAGAGGCAGCAGAGAGUUUCCAGCAGAGCCAGAGGUCGUCUACUCUUCACUGAGGUAGACCUUCACACCUUCACACCAGUCCAACCGCUGAUGUCCAGCUGGCCUGGAACUGGUCCCCAGAGCCCCUCACACCUCAGCACAUCCAUGUAUUAGAUUUCACUGUUAAAACUAAAUUAGACUCAGACAGCUACAAAGAGACAAACAGCUCAGGUUUACUGAAUGUUCUUAACAUUUUAAGAUGUGUUUUUGGUAUAAAAGCAGUGACAUAAAAUGUAAGGAUUAAAUAAAUAGUUUUCCCUGUGUAAAAGAAGGUUUUUCAGUGAGUUGCACAGCACUGACAUGAUACUUGUUUCCUAUAUUUCUCCUGAACAAGAUCUAAUGGUAACUUCCAGUUUAAUGUAAUAUCUAACUUGACUGUUUUUUAUAAUUUAUUAUUGUUUUUUUCUUCUUAUUGCAACUUGUCUCUCUACAGGAUCGAUAAACUUUGGUCUAAUUCUUGUUUUUCUCCUGUGGUUUUCUUGGUUUCACAAUGCUGUCGUAGGGGAAAACCUGACCUUCUGGUUUGGAUGUGGCGACACACACCUCUCAUCAGAUAAUAGAUAACUAAGAAGAAACAAAACCACACACACAUCUGAACAGCAUCAUGCAGCUUCAGUACUAUACGAGGUGCGAGUUUUUGAUUCUUUAGUCGGUGAUCUAUCAAGAUUUAGUCUGUAAAGUUUCUUCUCUCUGAGUUGAGAAGCUGUUUAAACAUCACACAUCAUAUAAAUCAGCAGGUCCUAGUUUUCAUGAGACUCAGAAACAGAGAAAUUAUAUGUCAGUCAGGUUCCCAUUUAAACACUGACACAGGCUUUCCUGCUUCUGCAACAACAACAAUGUUGUAAUCGUCCUGUUUAUACCGGACAUUAAGAGAUCUCUUCCCAAUGUGCUGAAAUCUAUAUUAAACUUGAUGUGAAGUUAACAUGAGA